CCCAACAGAUUCUAGCACGGUUUGAACGGUGGCCAAGAAACAACUAUGGUUCAUGCUCCUACUCUGAAUUGGGGUUUUGCCAACAUCAUAGAGACGACGAGGAUACUUUGAACCCGAAGAAGAAGCCAUACUUGUAAAAAAAAAUUGGAAACAAAGAAAUGAGAAAUAGAGAAAUCGAGUAGCACAAUUGAUGUUUUAAUUUUCAGUCGAUUAACAUAGAUUUCGUACUAACGUACAAUAGUUUAUAGAGAAACAGAGAAAACCCAAAUCAAUUUUCGAAAUUGGAAAUUAGGGAUUUCGAAUUGGGAAUUAGGGAUUUUGAAUUGGGAAUUAGGGUUUUACAAUUUAACAUGCAAUCAAUCAAUCUAUGCAAAAAAAGAACUUCAAAUAGCAUAGAUUAUGUCUUACAGAAUCAAGUAACUCGAUUUAUGGUGGAGGACCGAUUUGAAAUCGAGUUAUUUUGUCUCACCGAUGACAGAGACGAACUCAAUGGAGAUGUGGAGGAAAACGGAGUUGAAGAAGAUUAAAGGUGGAAAUAGAAGCGAUGAAGGUUGAAUGGAGAUGGAGAUGGUGGCGUCGAAGAUUGGUAGGAGAUGAAGAUGGAAGAGUGUCGUGAGGAAAAAGAUCCGACAGGUUUCUU
rnacentral:lncRNA from 1 species